rnacentral:rRNA from 1 species
GUCUACGGCCAUACCACCCUGAACGCACCCGAUCUCAUCUGAUCUCGGAAGCUAAGCAGGGUCGGGCCUGGUUAGUACUUGGAUGGGAGAAAGGUCUUAGAUGGGCAGACA